CCUUCACGAGAAAGGAAAUUAGAAAAAUGAUGGAAGUCCCUUCUCUCCAGGGCCUCUUUUCCUCCCAAGGACACAAAACAUCUUCCCCAUCUCCGACUCACCUCUCCUCCUGGGGCAUCCCUCGGCGGAUGGCAAUGGCUGGGAAGUUCUGCUCCACCAGGCACUGGUUGGAGAUAUGCUCAUCCCCCUACUGGGCCUUGAACAACUGACCAGGUGGAACUCAAGGACAUCCAGAAGGUCAAAGAGCUUCCGGUUCUUCUCCUGAUCCUUCAGUUUCAUGUAGCACUGCUGCAACCCAUGCAGCCUCAGCUUCGUCUCAUCAUCCACGAAGAUCUCCAUUGGCAGGGUUUUAAGAUAGCCCAGCUGAAAACUGUCAUGGGAAGGGAACUUUGCAGGGAAGAAGAGGAGCAGUGAAACCACCCAAUGGCAAGAUGUAACAGAUAUGUCUGAAUCUCUCAGUGCAUCAGGCUCUGCUGCUACAGGUGUGAAUAAGGACAACACACCCCUUCCCUCAUAUCCUUUAUCCUCCCAUUUCCACAGUCCUCCACCGUCUCUCCUUCAGUCUAUAGGCUGCCUCAUCAAUUUCUGGAGAGGGAAGUACAGCUGGGCUGUCUUUUGCUCAAAACCUGAGCCGAGCCUAUUAUUCCUUUAGUGAUACAGUAGUUCUGCUCAUCUCAAGUCUCCACCUACAAUAUGAACCGCCCUCCCUGACUGUGAACUAGGAGAGACUGGUUUCUCUAGGUUUGAGGUGGGGAACUGAGAAGUCUGAUUCUCAGUGAUGUGGAACUGACACUUCUCCAAAUUUUCCCAAAUGUAUAAUGAAGAUCAACAACACUUCCCUAUAAAUCCCGUGGAGGUAAAAUAUCUAUCAAUGUUACAAUCCUACUUCUGAUUAUUUAUCCUACAGAUACAUCAUCAUGCCUAGAAAUCAUAGAGAAGAAUAUUAUGCAUUGCAGCACUAUUUUAAUAGAAAAAGGUGAAAUUACUCAAGUGUCAAUAAAUAGGGGACCAGUUAAAUCCAUCCACAUAGUAGAAUACCAUAAAGCUAUAAAAAAAGUAAAAGGGGAAAUUCUUCAAGUGUUGACAAAUAAGAUCGCCAAAUUCAAUUAUUAACAAAAAAUAAUCAAGUUGCAGAACUGUGUAUACUAUGCUAUAUUUUCUUUAAAAGGGGAACAAGAAUUUAUGUACACACACCAUAGGUGUACACACACCUAUGCACCUAUGUGCCUGGAAAGACAUCCAAGGACCUAGUGAUAAGAGUUCUCUAAGGGGAGAGCAGUAGGAACUGUGAGAAGGGGAGACCAUUUUGAAAAUAUUUUCACAGUAUGCUUUAGGUAGUUUUAAACUUCUGAAAAUUUGAAACUAUUAUCUAAUAAAAAUGAAAUAAAACAGCAAUAUAAAAACAACAGAGGAAAACUACACUGUAAGACAAGACUGCCCAGCUCUGGCAUAACAAUCUUCAACGGAAGCAUGUCGGGGUUGCUACUUACUCUCCUGUGACAAUUGCUGCUCUGCCCUGGGCUGCAGAUGGCACUUGGGGCCUGUCCACACAUCACCUGUGGGGAAACUGAUUUGCAUUCUAAUUCCCAAUCUUUAAAUGAAUAGAAUUACAUUAUUCUACUUCCCCAAUCAAGAAUCCACUUAUCAACAACUUGAAAGAUAUUUUCUAGAGCUAUUAUUCGCCCUCUUCUCAGUAUUGACUACUGAUUGGUUCUACAUGGAGUUUCUCCCUCUUGCUCCCAUUUAGACUUUUUCAUUCUAAGGUGAUUCAAUAGCUCUGUGCACAUCUUGCUCCAAUCCAAAUGCCCUCUGACAAGGCAGGGCUGAGUUAGCUCCCAAAUGAUGACAAGCACCUUGUCAGCCUCUUACCACAUCCGUUAUGCCCCACCCCCAUUUGUGGAGUGCAGGCAGUUUCUACUGUGAGACGAUAGAUAUUAGCAAGAGGGAGGUCCUCUCUGUGUUCCAGGUGCUCCAUUCUGCCCCCUCCCACAGAGGAUGGGGAUAAGGAGACACCGAGGGCAGCCAUGCACCAUCACACAGGAGCUCAGGACUUCAGUGUCUCUGGCCUUAACCAUGAAGAUCAAGUCUGAACUCAGAGGGGCGAAGACAUAGAAAAUGGAUGGUAUUGGGAGACCAUAGACACAGAGGACUCUCAGGAGUGUGUCUAAGGCUAAUGAAGGAUGAACUGAAGCAGGUUCAAGGGAGUCAGUCAACAGUUUUAUAGCAGCAUCAUCAACAGCAACAAUGAGCAAUAAGUGAACUCAAAAAAACAAACCAAAGAGAUCUCUUACACGGAAAGAGACUAACUAGUUUAGGAAAUUUGAAGAUAUACUCCACAGCUAUUUGUCUUGAUGACCCUGUAGAAUGUGACUUUAAUAAAAAUAAAAAUAUAUUCAGAUUCA